ACCGAAGAAUAUCAAACUCCGAAUGCCAUGUAGACAGGACCGGGAGUCAGACUGCACGAGAUAAGUUGGGCAGUCAAAAGGGAAAGAGCCCAGACCUACAGCUAAGGUCCCAAAGUGUGUGUUAAGUGGAAAAGGAUGUGGGAUUUCAAAGACAACUAGGAUGUUGGCUCAGAAGCAGCCACACAUUCAAAGAGUGCGUAAUAGCUCACUAGUCGAGAGGUCCUGCGCCGAAAAUGUCCGGGGCUGAAACACAACACCGAAGCUCAGGAAUGUAUUUAUACAUUGGUAGAGGAGCAUUCUUAAAGGGGCGAAGCAGUACCGAUAAGGAGCUGUGGACUUUUAAGAAGAGAGAAUGCCGGAAUGAGUAGCGAGAUGGAGGUGGGAAUCCUCCAGGCCGAAUAUCUAAGGUUUCCAGAGUAAAGCUGAUCUGCUCUGGGUAAGUCGGGGCCUAAGGCGAGGACGAGAGUCGUAGCCGAUGGACAACAGGUGGAGAUUCCUGUACUGCGGUAUGACAGAACUGUGGGGACACGUAAGGAAAGCGGAAGCCGGGAAUGGAAAGCCCGGUGCAAGCGGGGUACCAGUCACUUUGGCAAAUCCGGGUGGCAAUGGGAAGCCGUGAUGCGGAGCGAAAUAAAGUAGCGAAGUCCGUGAGCCAUGCGUCAAGAAAAGCCGCUAUCGUUUAUACCGUACCCGUACCGUAAACCGACACAGGUGGAUGAGGAGAGAAUCCUAAGGCCGGCGGAAGAAGCAUUGUCAAGGAACUCGGCAAAAUGGCCCCGUAACUUAGGGAUAAGGGGUGCCUGGGAAACCAGGCCGCAGAGAAUAGGCUCAAGCAACUGUUUAGCAAAAACACAGGUCUAUGCGAAACCGAAAGGUGAGGUAUAUGGGCUGACGCCUGCCCGGUGCUGGAAGGUUAAGAGGAGAGGUUAGCGGUAACGCGAAGCUUUGAAUUUAAGCCCCAGUAAACGGCGGCCGUAACUAUAACGGUCCUAAGGUAGCGAAAUUCCUUGUCGGGUAAGUUCCGACCCGCACGAAAGGCGUAAUGAUUUGAGCGCUGUCUCGACAAUGCAUCCGGUGAAAUUGAAGUACCAGUGAAGAUGCUGGUUACCUGCGCCAGGACGGAAAGACCCCAUGGAGCUUUACUCCAGUCUGGUACUGGGACUCGGUAUUGCAUGUACAGGAUAGGUGGGAGGCUAGGAGAUGGUAACGCCAGUUGCCAUGGAGCCGCUGUUGGGAUACCACCCUUGCAGUAUUGGGUUUCUAACCAGCCGCCGUGACCCGGCGGUGGGACAAUGCCAGACGGGGAGUUUGACUGGGGCGGUCGCCUCCGAAAGGGUAUCGGAGGCGCUCAAAGGUUCCCUCAGAAUGGUUGGAAACCAUUCGAAGAGUGCAAAGGCAGAAGGGAGCUUGACUGUGACACCGACGGGUGGAGCAGGUACGAAAGUAGGACUUAGUGAUCCGGUGGUAUUAAGUGGGAAUGCCAUCGCUCAACGGAUAAAAGCUACCCUGGGGAUAACAGGCUUAUCACUCCCAAGAGUUCACAUCGACGGAGUGGUUUGGCACCUCGAUGUCGGCUCAUCGCAUCCUGGGGCUGUAGUAGGUCCCAAGGGUUGGGCUGUUCGCCCAUUAAAGCGGUACGCGAGCUGGGUUCAGAACGUCGUGAGACAGUUCGGUCCCUAUCCGGCGUGGGCGUAGGAUAUCUGAGAGGAGCUGUCCUUAGUACGAGAGGACCGGGAUGGACGGGCCGCUGGUGCAUCGGUUAGACUGCCAAGUCUACGGCCGAGUAGCCAAGCCCGGAAGGGAUAAACGCUGAAGGCAUCUAAGCGUGAAGCCCCCCUUAAGAUGAGAUAUCCCAUUCGAAAGAAGUAAACCCCCUUGA
rnacentral:rRNA from 1 species